rnacentral:tRNA from 1 species
GCCCAGGUGGCGGAAUUGGUAGACGCGGCGGAUUCAAAAUCCGCUUUCUUCGGAAGUGAGGGUUCGAGUCCCUCCCUGGGUACCA